rnacentral:rRNA from 1 species
GGGCACUAGGUGUGGGGGACAUUCCACGUUUUCCGCGCCGUAGCUAACGCAUUAAGUGCCCCGCCUGGGGAGUACGGCCGCAAGGCUAAAACUCAAAGGAAUUGACGGGGGCCCGCACAAGCGGCGGAGCAUGCGGAUUAAUUCGAUGCAACGCGAAGAACCUUACCAAGGCUUGACAUAUACCGGAUCGUUCCAGAGAUGGUUCUUCCCCUMUGGGGUCGGUAUACAGGUGGUGCAUGGUUGUCGUCAGCUCGUGUCGUGAGAUGUUGGGUUAAGUCCCGCAACGAGCGCAACCCUCGUUCCAUGUUGCCAGCACGUGAUGGUGGGGACUCAUGGGAGACUGCCGGGGUCAACUCGGAGGAAGGUGGGGAUGACGUCAAAUCAUCAUGCCCCUUAUGUCUUGGGCUUCACGCAUGCUACAAUGGCCGGUACAAAGGGUUGCGAUACUGUGAGGUGGAGCUAAUCCCAAAAAGCCGGUCUCAGUUCGGAUUGAGGUCUGCAACUCGACCUCAUGAAGUCGGAGUCGCUAGUAAUCGCAGAUCAGCAACGCUGCGGUGAAUACGUUCCCGGGCCUUGUACACACCGCCCGUCAAGUCACGAAAGUCGGUAACACCCGAAGCCGGUGGCCAACCCUUGUGGAGGGAGCGUCGAAGGUGGGACUGGCGAUUGGGACUAAGCUGGCGGCGUGCUUAACACAUGCAAGUCGAACGCUGAAGCACCAGCUUGCUGGUGUGGAUGAGUGGCGAACGGGUGAGUAAUACGUGAGUAACCUGCCCUUGACUCUGGGAUAAGMCCGGGAAACUGGGUCUAAUACUGGAUGCUACAUGUCACCGCAUGGUGGUGUGUGGAAAGGGUUUACUGGUCUUGGAUGGGCUCACGGCCUAUCAGCUUGUUGGUGAGGUAAUGGCUCACCAAGGCGACGACGGGUAGCCGGCACUGAGAGGGUGACCGGCCACACUGGGACUGAGACACGGCCCAGACUCCUACGGGAGGCAGCAGUGGGGAAUAUUGCACAAUGGGCGAAAGCCUGAUGCAGCGACGCCGCGUGAGGGAUGACGGCUUCGGGUUGUAAACCUCUUUCAGCAGGGAAGAAGCCACAAGUGACGGUACCUGCAGAAGAAGCGCCGGCUAACUACGUGCCAGCAGCCGCGGUAAUACGUAGGGCGCAAGCGUUGUCCGGAAUUAUUGGGCGUAAAGAGCUCGUAGGCGGUUUGUCGCGUCUGCUGUGAAAGCCCGGGGCUUAACCCCGGGUGUGCAGUGGGUACGGGCAGACUAGAGUGCAGUAGGGGAGACUGGAAUUCCUGGUGUAGCGGUGGAAUGCGCAGAUAUCAGGAGGAACACCGAUGGCGAAGGCAGGUCUCUGGGCUGUUACUGACGCUGAGGAGCGAAAGCAUGGGGAGCGCAACAGGAUUAGAUACCCUGGUAGUCCAUGCCGUAAA